UCGAAGAAUAGCUAGAAGAAACUGCAUUUUUUCCGAAGACGAGAAGACAAACAACCAAAGACUUUCUUUCGGAAGAAUUCAUUCAUAGGCAACAAUGCUUUCUAACAGCGUCAUAAAAAUAAUCCUUUUGACCAUGGCGGUCAUGUUUGUGUCUGCUAGACCAGAGGCAGAGUUUCCGGAGACGAUGGUUGAAGAUGUUGAAAUGGCGAAAAAAGCGGCACUUCCGAAUAACGUCGUACCACCUGCAAUUUGGCCGCCAUGUCCAUUUGACUGUGGCAAAGUGUGUGUCGUCAAAAUUCCGUUCGUAUGGGGCAAUAUAGCAAAGUUUGCCUACGUCUGUCAUAAAGAGGUUCACGAAUGCUGUCUGAAAGCCUGCAGUGUCUAUCGAAAGUGUGUUCUUUUGUCGGGCCAACCAGAAUGGGUGUGCUAUGCCAACGCGCUUGAUACCAUAUGCCAAUGCAGGAGCAUUAUAAAGAAAUUGCCUCCGGCUCCUAGUCCUCUCAAAGAGUA